ACGGCUCAGUAACACGUGGACAACCUACCCUGAGGUCGGGGAUAAACCCGGGAAACUGGGUAUAAUACCCGAUAGAUCUAGAUCGCUGGAAUGCUUUUAGGUCUAAAGUUCCGACGCCUCAGGAUGGGUCUGCGGCCUAUCAGGGUAGUAGUGGGUGUAAAGUACCUACUAGCCUACGACGGGUACGGGUUGUGAGAGCAAGAGCCCGGAGAUGGAUUCUGAGACACGAAUCCAGGCCCUACGGGGUGCAGCAGGCGCGAAACCUUUACAAUGCUGGCAACAGCGAUAAGGGGACCUCGAGUGCUACGAUACAAUCGUGGCUGUCUAGUUGCCUAAAAAGCAAUUGAUAGCAAGGGCCGGGCAAGACCGGUGCCAGCCGCCGCGGUAACACCGGCGGCUCGAGUGGUAACCGCUAUUAUUGGGUCUAAAGGGUCUGUAGCCGGCUUAGUUAGUCUCUUGAGAAAUCUGGCCGCUCAACGGUCAGGCGUUCGGGGGAUACUGCUAAAGCUCGAGACCGGGAGAGGUGAGAGGUACUUCAGGGGUAGGGGUGAAAUCUUGUAAUCCUUGAAGGGCCACCAGUGGCGAAGGCGUCUCACCAGAACGGAUCUGACGGCAAGGGACGAAAGCUAGGGGCACGAACCGGAUUAGAUACCCGGGUAGUCCUAGCCGUAAACGAUACUCGCUAGGUGUCGGCCACGGUGCGACCGUGGUCGGUGCCGUAGGGAAGCCGUGAAGCGAGCCACCUGGGAAGUACGGCCGCAAGGCUGAAACUUAAAGGAAUUGGCGGGGGAGCAC
rnacentral:rRNA from 1 species